AGACGGGGCCCGCACAAGGCGGUGGAGCAUUGGUUGGUUUAAUUCGAAGCAACGCGAAGAACCUUACCUAGGUCUUGACAUCCCGAUGCUUAUUUCUAGAGAUAGAAAGUUACUUCGGUACAUCGGUGACAGGUGGUGCAUGGUUGUCGUCAGCUCGUGUCGUGAGAUGUUGGGUUAAGUCCCGCAACGAGCGCAACCCCUAUUGUUAGUUGCCAUCAUUCAGUUGGGCACUCUAGCGAGACUGCCGGUAAUAAACCGGAGGAAGGUGGGAUGACGUCAAAUCAUCAUGCCCCUUAUGACCUGGGCUACACACGUGCUACAAUGGUUGGUACAACGAGUUGCGAGUCGGUGACGGCGAGCUAAUCUCUUAAAGCCAAUCUCAGUUCGGAUUGUAGGCUGCAACUCGCCUACAUGAAGUCGGAAUCGCUAGUAAUCGCGGAUCAGCAACGCUGCGGUGAAUACGUUCCCGGGCCUU
rnacentral:rRNA from 1 species